rnacentral:rRNA from 1 species
CCCCUAGAUGUUCUGGGCCGCACGCGCGCUACACUGAACAGUUCAACAAGUCUUAACCUUGGCCGAUAGGUCUGGGUAAUCUUUGAACGCUGUUCGUGAUUGGGAUAGACCUUUGCAAUUAUGGGUCUUCAACGAGGAAUUCCUAGUAAACGCAAGUCAUCAGCUUGCAUUGAUUACGUCCCUGCCCUUUGUACACACCGCCCGUCGCUCCUACCGAUUGAAUGUUCCGGUGAAUACUUCGGACUGCGUGGUUUGCAGUUUCUGCAUUCCUUGCGGAAAGUUGAAUAAACCUUAACAUUUAGAGGAAGGAGAAGUCGUAACA